rnacentral:tRNA from 1 species
GCUUUGGUGGUUCAGUGGUAGAAUUCUCGUCUUCCAUGUGGGAGACCCAGGUUCUAUUCCCAGCCAAUGCC